rnacentral:rRNA from 1 species
UGCCAGACUCCUACGGGAGGCAGCAGUGAGGAAUAUUGGUCAAUGGCCGGGAGGCUGAACCAGCCAAGUCGCGUGAGGGAAGACGGCCCUACGGGUUGUAAACCUCUUUUGUCAGGGAGCAAUUGGCGCUACGUGUAGCGUUAUCGAGAGUACCUGAAGAAAAAGCAUCGGCUAACUCCGUGCCAGCAGCCGCGGUAAUACGGAGGAUGCGAGCGUUAUCCGGAUUUAUUGGGUUUAAAGGGUGCGUAGGCGGAAUGCCAAGUCAGCGGUAAAAUCGCGGGGCUCAACCUCGCUCCGCCGUUGAAACUGGCGUUCUUGAGUGGGCGAGAAGUAUGCGGAAUGCGUGGUGUAGCGGUGAAAUGCAUAGAUAUCACGCAGAACUCCGAUUGCGAAGGCAGCAUACCGGCGCCCAACUGACGCUGAAGCACGAAAGCGUGGGUAUCGAACAGGAUUAGAUACCCGAGUA